GAAUGAUAGCUCAGUUGGGAGAGCGUUAGACUGAAGUUGUUUACGCAACAGUCAUCUAAAGGCCCCCCGGUUCAAUCCCGGGUUCCG
rnacentral:tRNA from 1 species